rnacentral:rRNA from 1 species
AAUAGAUACCCGGGUAGUCCAUGCCGUAAACGUUGGGCACUAGGUGUGGGGGACAUUCCACGUUUUCCGCGCCGUGGCUAACGCAUUAAGUGCCCCGCCUGGGGAGUACGGCCGCAAGGCUAAAACUCAAAGGAAUUGACGGGGGCCCGCACAAGCGGCGGAGCAUGCGGAUUAAUUCGAUGCAACGCGAAGAACCUUACCAAGGCUUGACAUGAACCAGACCGGGCUGGAAACAGUCCUUCCCCUUGUGGGUUGGUUUACAGGUGGUGCAUGGUUGUCGUCAGCUCGUGUCGUGAGAUGUUGGGUUAAGUCCCGCAACGAGCGCAACCCUCGUUCUAUGUUGCCAGCACGUAAUGGUGGGGACUCAUAGGAGACUGCCGGGGUCAACUCGGAGGAAGGUGGGGAUGACGUCAAAUCAUCAUGCCCCUUGUGUCUAGGGCUGCAAACAUGCUACAAUGGCCGGUACAAAGGGCUGCGAGACCGUGAGGUGGAGCGAAUCCCUUAAAGUGGGUCUCAGUUCGGAUCGGGGUCUGCAACUCGACCCCA